GUUAAAUGGAGUGUAGACUCUCUCUCUCUCUCUAUCAUAUAUAUAUCACUGGGAUCAAAAUAAGAUACUGAAUUGAACCUUAAAAAGAAAAAGAUCUUAAUGCUUUAUAGCUUAAGAUUGAACCAAAAAGAGGUGCAUGAAAUUUCAUCAAAGUUAGAAGUGGGAUUGGAGUAUCAACUUCUUUUGAUAAGCAAGAGAUGAAAUCAUGGUGCAA
rnacentral:lncRNA from 1 species